rnacentral:rRNA from 1 species
AUUGAACGCUGGCGGCAUGCCUUACACAUGCAAGUCGAACGGCAGCGGGCCUUCGGGUGCCGGCGAGUGGCGAACGGGUGAGUAAUGCAUCGGAACGUGCCAUUGAGUGGGGGAUAACGUAGCGAAAGUUACGCUAAUACCGCAUAUUCUGUGAGCAGGAAAGCAGGGGGACCGCAAGGCCUUGCGCUCUUUGGGCGGCCGAUGUCAGAUUAGCUAGUUGGUGAGGUAAAGGCUUACCAAGGCGACGAUCUGUAGCGGGUCUGAGAGGAUGAUCCGCCACACUGGAACUGAGACACGGUCCAGACUCCUACGGGAGGCAGCAGUGGGGAAUUUUGGGACAAUGGGCGCAAGCCUGAUCCAGCCAUGCCGCGUGAGUGAAGAAGGCCU